rnacentral:lncRNA from 1 species
GAUGGACACAAACUAUUCAAUUGAUCAAGAGUAAAAUAAAGAGAAGAAGAAGAAGAGGACAAAAGAGAUCACGCCGAAAUUGGAUCAAAGCUUUGAUCAAGUCAUCAUCACAAUCAAUCAUCCAUUUUGAUGAGACCUAUGAUCAAAUAACCAUGAUACAAGGCCAACAAAAGUCAAUAAAGGUAAAACAAAUAUAAAAUGUAAUAAAACAAAAUAAAAUGCAUAAGAAACAUUUUUCACAAUGAAUUU